AAUCUUGCAACUCUGAAAGUACAAAUCUCCCAUUGUCUUUAUUAGGGAGGUCCUAAGUUUCUUUCUCUGUCCCAUUGGGUAGCUGUAGUCUCUCACUCCCCUUAUCUAAUUUUUCCAUAGGCAGUAUCUCUUUCCCAUUUCCCAUGGUCAUUUCCACAUACCAUUACAGACAACUCCAGAGAAGUGGGUAUAGUGUUGUGAGCAGUAAUCAGUGGCCAAAUAAUUAACUCUGGUAAGUGAAAGUUCACAGUUUAAGGAGAGGCAGAGAGGUUACCCACCUGCAGCACAGCUGAGUUGAUUGUCCAGGUGAUGAGGUAGAGGCACCACACUGGCAUCUGCAGCACAGCCUUUAGGACACUGUACUCACUCGAAAUCUUAGUUUCUUAAUUACUUUCAAAAUAGUCAAUUUACAUUUAAAGACAGAUCUCCUGACUGGCAGGAAGAAAAAAAACAACAGACACUCGGCGAAUCAGCCUUCAUUGCAGAUCAAAGAAAGGAAAAAAUGAAAAAAAUUAAUUUUAAGAAUUUAAAACUAACAGCAAAAAGCUAUUUAUCAAAGCUGUCAAAGAUUUUGACCUACGAAAAUUAUGAACAGAUGAACAGGACAGUUUGAGUAUAAGAAUGGCAACUACUAGAAAGGCAGCAAAAGGUGGUGAAGGUUUGUUGUAAGAAUCAAGAAGAAAAUACCACACAAAGGGAUAAAAAUGUGUUAUUACAAGAAGAAGAAGAAGAAGAAGAAGAAGAAGAAGAAGAAGAAGAAGAA